CUGAAAUAUCGCUGCUGACAUCUCUGCAUUUAAAGAAGAGAUCAGAGGAGUCUCAGCCCGCCUACAUGAAACAGAGGUUGCCACAGCUGCCCAUGAGACACCGCUUACUGCCCUAGAAUGGGAACUCUCUACAGCGCGAUCAGGCGCAGAAACAAUACCGCAUGGAGGAUCAGAGGCAGUGGAAGAACUUAAAGGUGGGCAGCCUUGCCGAUACCUCACCUGAUCCGGAGGCUUCUAACACAGCUCUUCUCUGUCAAACAAGCCAAUUAAUGGCACUUGACAGCUGCUACAGGCUCCCAGCACCUUCGACAAGCACUACAGGAG